rnacentral:rRNA from 1 species
CCGCGAUUCGCCCUUCGGGGCGCACCAGGCGCGAAACCUCUGCAAUACGCGAAAGCCUGACAGGGUUACUCUGAGUGACUUUCGUUAACAGAGUCUUUUGGCACCUCUAAAAAGGGUGUAGAAUAAGGGGUGGGCAAGUCUGGUGUCAGACGCCGCGGUAAUACCAGCACCCCGAGUGGUCGGGACGAUUAUUGGGCCUAAAGCAUCCGUACCCGGUUCUGCAAGUCCUCCGUUAAAUCCAACUGCUUAACAAAUGGGCCGCGCAGGAUACUACAAAGCUCUGAGGCAUGAGAGGCAAGCGGUACUCAGUGGGUAGGGGUAAAAUCCGUUGAUCCAUUGAAUACCACCACCUGGCGAACGUGGCUUGCCAGAAUGCGCUCCACUGUGAGGGAUGAAAGCUGGGGGAGCAAACCGGAUUAGAUACCCGGGUAGUCCCAGCCGUAAACGAUGCACACUCCUUGAU